rnacentral:lncRNA from 1 species
ACAUCGAGGUUUUGAAACAGUAAGUAUGAUAAUUUGCUUGUGAAAGUGUGUAUUUUAAAACUCACUUCUAAUUGAAAAUUCAAUUUUGGAAUAAUGGAUAAUAGACUAAAAUUCAUUUUAUAAGUUUCUGGCUAUGCACUGUCUUACCAUAGAACUGUAAUAUCAAUUUUACAUGAGAUGUACUCAAGUUUAAGUAUUUACUAUUAAUAUUCUUUGGAUUUGUGCCACUGGAGGCAUUUCAUUUGAGCAGUUAAUAAGCAAAAAUUGGCUUCUUAAAGUACUUUUAUAAUUAAAAAAAUUUACUGGAGAUGAAAAAACUAUUUAAGAUGUGAUUAGUUAUGUCUAUCUAUCUAUCUAUUUCUAUUUCUAUGCAAGAAUAGAUACAUUUAACCCCAUGUAAUAUAAACCCCCAAAGACAAUUCAAGAACUCAGUGAGUAUUUAUACUAGGUUCUAAGAAAUUAUAGAAUCAGGGGGCCAAAAUGCAACAUAGCCUAAAAAUUAGGGUUUUGAGGACAUACUUAGACCUUUGCAAGUUUAAUUGCAAAAUUUAGAGAUUCUGUUGAAUAAUAUUUUUAGUUUUGAUUAGAUAUGGAAAAAAUAUGCAAUAUAAUAUUGUGGCACAUUCAAUGUUUUCCAUAUAUAUAUAUAUAUUUUUUUUUUUUUUCUGGGAAAACUCAGUGACACUUCCUGUUACAAAGUUUAGCCAUUUCCUCUUUAUUUUUUUUUUUUUUAAUAUUUAUUUUUUAGUUUUCAGGACACAACAUCUUUAUUUUAUUUUUAUGUGGUGCUGAGGAUCGAACCCAGUGUCCCGCGCGAACGCGUUACCACUUGAGCCACAUCCCCAGCCCUGCUCUUUAUUCUUAACAAAUAAUCCAGGGCUUGUUAAAGGUUUAAUAUAUUUGCAAAGCCAAUUAGUGAAUAAGUAAAUAUUUACUGAAGGCUGGUGACAUGCAAGUGUUGGUAUAGGGUGAUCUUUUGUAUUUCCGUGUGUUUAUUGUGUGUUGGGGACUGUUGGUACAAGGCAGAAGGAGUGAGGCUAAAGAAGAAUGGGGCAUGAUCCUUACUCAUAUCCAUAUGUGGUCUAGUUAAGGAUAUGAAAGCUGGCUAGAGAGUUAGCCAUCAUUGUGUAGAAGUUAAACGAACCCAGAAACUUCUAGAAACAGGAUCAGGGUAGUUGGGAUCUGUCUUCCUUUAGCAAUUUGCCAUCUAGUUCAUCUCUGCUAAUAUAUCAGGAGCACUGUGCUUUACAAACACAAUUUCGGGAGCCAUGUGUCUCAUGUUCUCUAUAUCCAUGUUGGAUUCCAACACUUUUCCCAGAACAUGUCUCUGCAUACCUCCCUCUAGUUUCCAUCUUACUAAUCCCUUAAAAAUUUUUAAAACGUCAUUAUGUCCAUCAAGUUUUCCAGACAAUCCCAAGAGGAUGCACUUUCUCCUUUGUUUGAUCUGCAUAGCGUUAUAUUUUUUACUAGUCUCACAUCCAUUAUAUAUUAAAGGUGAUCUUGAUCAUUUUCUGUCUGUCUUGUGUUAGAGUUGGGACUUACCUCAACCUCCCCUCACCACACCCAAGAAAACUAUAAAUUGCUUCAGUAACUACUGGCUAAAAUUAAUUGGAUAAUAAAGAUGACUUUUGCUGAAGACAACAAGUAUAUUUAAUAAAAUGAAUAGGGAAACAUAUUACUUUCAUUUCCAUUAUGGAAAGUGCCUUCUAAGGGGACUGUUUUAUAUAUUGGAAGGCAUUCAACUACAAAAACUCAACUGUGAAAUAUCCAUGUUUGGUGCUUUCUUUUUAAAAAUUUUCCUUAAAUCUGUAAAUUAGUAAUCACAAGUGAUGCUCAUUAUUUGUGGAUUGCAUAUUCAUGAAUUCACCUACUUGGAAAAUUCACUAGUAACCCCAAAUCAAUACUUGUGGGGCUUUUGUGGUAAUUCAUGGACAUGUAUGGAGUGGUGCAACUUUGGAGUUGCCCAGUGUUCAUGUUCCCAGCUAAGGUUGAAUAAGGUGAUGCUCGGCUUUCUUGUUUCAGUUCUCAUAAUGUAAGCAAGCGUCCUUUUCAUGGUCUUAGUGCCACAUUUCUUAUAUUUUCAUGCUUCUUCUUGGUCAUUUCACUGUUUAAAGUGGCUCCCAAGCAUAGUUCCACAGUGCUGUCUAGAACCCCUACGCACAAGAAUACAGUUAAUGUAGGGCUGGGGUUGUAGCUCAGUGGUAGAGUGCUUGCCUUGAAUGCGUGAGGCCCUGGAUUCGAUCCUCAGCACCACAUAAAAAUAAAGAUAUUGUGUUCAUUAACUGAAAAUAAAUAAACAAAGAAUACCGUUAAUGUGUCUUUUCUCAUGGAGAACAGUGUAUCUUACAUAAACUGUGUUCAUGUAUGAAUUGUAGCACUGUUGGCUGAGAGUUCAAUGUCAAUUAAUUGACAAUACAUAUUACAUAAUGUGUCUUUAAACAGAAACACAUAAAACAGAGUCAGAUAUUGACAGGUUUACAAAAAAUACUAUGGAGGCUUGAAGGAACCCAAUCCUGUAUUUCCUGUAGGAACAGUGGUUCAGCAUUCAUUAAUCCAGUGAUCAUGGUAACUUUAUAAAACAUAACUGCCUUGAAUCAUGAGAAAUGACUUUGUCGGUUUUCCCCACGAGGGUUGGUAAGCCAGGGACUCAACUAUCUCUUCAUAUGGACUUUAAAAAGUCUACAAUUUGAAGCCAAGUUCACCUGUAGUCUCUCAUCACCUUUUCUCUGGAGGUUUAUCUAACUUAUACAGGCUUAUAAAUUUUGAAAAUGCUGGAAAAUAUAAAGAACAAACUUAGGAUGUGCUGUUAUGUUACCUUAGUGUACAAAAAUAUUGUUAUUUUCUAUCUAUUUUCCUCUAGUACUUUUCUGUUAUCUUGCUAUAUAUGUUUUGCAUUUUUUUUACCUAACAUUAUACUGUUAGCAUUUUUCUAAUAUUCUUCAAAAACCUAAUUUUUAUUGGUCUCAUUAAGUAUCUGCCAUGAUGAUUGUACCAAUUGACAUUAUCUUGGUGAAGUAUGAAAGCAACUAUUUUCUUUCAAUAUCACCAACAUAAUGCAUUUUUAAAUCUUUGCUCUUUUUCUUUCUUUCUUUUUUCUUUUUUUUUGACUGGGAAUUGAAACAAGAGGCGGGUGCUUUAUCAUUGAGCCAUAUCCCCAAUCUUUUAUUAAAUUUUUUUAUUUUUUAUUUUGAGACUGGAUCUCACUAAGUUGCUUAAGGCCUUGCCGAGUUGCUGAGGUUAGACUGAAACUUGUGAUGCUCCUGCCUCAGUCUCCUCAGUUGCAAGGAUUACAGAUGUGUGCCAUGGAUCCCAGCUAAAUCUUUGCUAUUUAGAGAAGUGAAAAACAAUGCCUCAUCAUAGUUUUAAUUGACAUUUCUUUUAUUUGAGCAAGACUGAUUUUCUUUUCAUUUUAAAACAUUCAUUUAUCAUAGAUAUUUAGAUCUUUGCCCUAUAUUUUUUCUGUUGUGCUGUAUUGUCAAUAGUGUGUAAACCAUGAGUAUCUUCUUUUCAGGCUAAUCUAAACUUUGGCAGGACUUGCCAAGGUUUAUUCUUUUUUGGCAGGGGUGGUGGUGGGGUGUGCUGGGGAUUGAUUUCAGGGGCACUCAAUCACUGAGCCACAUUCCCAGCCCUAUUUUGCAUUUUAUUUAGAGACAAGGUCUUACUGAGCUGCUUUAGCGCCUCGCCAUUGCUGAGGCUGGCUUUAAACUUGUGAUCCUCCUGCCUCAGCCUCCUGAGCUGCCUGGAUUACAGGCAUGCACCACCCCAUCCAGCUCAAGGUUUAUCCUUAUUGGUAUUAUUUUUAUUAUUUUACAUAAGUUCCUUAUAUAUUAAGGAAACAAGAUCCUCUUAGUGAUAGGAGGUGAAAUAGUGUUAAGAAAGAUUAGAAUGUUUUGCAUGUCUCCAAACAAAGCAUAGAUAGUAGUUAACUAAUAGAAGAACUUUCUAAGCUGGGUGUGGUGGUGCAUGCCGGUAAUCCCAGUGACUGAGGAGGCUAAGGCAGAAGGAUUGCAAGUUCAAAGUCAGUCUCAGCAACUUAGCAAGAGCCUGUCCCAAAAUAAAAAUAAAAAGGUCUGGGGAUGUGGCUUAGUGGUUAAGUGCCCCUGCAUUCAAUUCCCAGUACCAAAAGAUUUUAAAGAAGACUGAGCAGUAAGGGGUGGAAUAAUUUUGCAGUUAUCCAAUUUUUAGACUCUCCUGAUAUGAUAAUUUGUUUAGGGAAGCUAUAAAUAAUCACAAGCACAGGAUGAUCUAAAAAAUAAGAAAGCCCUGCCCAAGUUUAGUUUAGUUCAAAAAAGAGGUACUUAGCUAGGUGUAGUGGUGCAUUCCUGAGAUCCCAGUAGCUCAGGAGGAUUGUGAGUUCAAAGCCAGCCUCAGCCAUGGUGAGGAGCUAAGCAACUCAGUGAGACCCUGUCUCUAAAUAAAACACAAAAUAGGCUGGGGUUGUGGCUCAGUGGUCAAGUGCCCCUGAGUUCAAUCCCCAGUACCCGCACCCACCCCCUCAAAAAAAAAAAAAAAAAAGAGGUACUCACAGCACACACCUAUCCUGAGAAGAAACAUAUUUUGUGUCUUUCAAAAUUGCCUUUAAAUUAUGGUCUUAAGUCUUCCCAGGUUUUAUCACUGAAAAGUCUCAUGUCCCUGGGAACCCCUCAGACCUGAAUAAACUGAAAUGGUUAGUGGUUACUCCUGCGUCAUUUUAGGAUGGUCUCAUUCAUUAUGUUCUUAGUUAGGCUAAAAAGUAUUUAAAAAAAAGUUUUUUACUACAAGCCUCAGCAGGUCCUUUGAUUUUCUUCAUGAGAACAAAACCACCCUGUUUCCAAGGGUGUGCCUAUCAGAAAAGCCACACUCAUAAUAACUGGUUGGUAGCCAGCAGCAUUUGCAGGCAUUGCCUGAAAAAUAUCCUAGAGAGGAAGGGAAAGGCCCUAGUGAUUCACACCUAAAACUUAUGACCAAAUUCCAGCGUCCUAUCUCCCACACAGCCUGUUUCUUCUAGCUUGCUAUGCGCCAUUUUCAAAAGCAAACCAUAUCAUCCAGGCUGAAUCAAGGCUGAAAAAAAAAGAGAGAGAGAGAGAGAGAGAGAGAGAGCGAGCGAGCUUGAUGAGAAGAAAAAAAGUUUCUGGAAAAAUUGGGAAAUGAUACUUUCCUAAUAUCAUAGAGACUAUUGUUUUAUGAGUAUCUUAUGUCAUAUUUAUUUAUUAAAAAUUUGUUCUAAUUAGUUAUGUACGAUAGUAGUUAUGUCAUAUUUAACACUCAGAUAUUGCUAGCCCAAACUGGAUUCAGCUACUGUGAAUUUUCUUUUGUUAUCAUAUUACCUACAAACAAAUAAUUUUCUUCCUCCUUUCCAAUAUUUAUGACUCUUAUUAGAAAUGGUUAAAGCUCUCAGAACCAUAAGAAAUUGUGAUUGGAGGACUCAGGACUUGUCCUAAAGUUGUGGGUAUAGUGAGGCAUAUGGAUUUUAGAAUAUAUGUUGAUUUUGGAAAGAAGUUAAAGAGUUGAUAAGAGGGACAUCCCCACCCCUAUGACAUCCCUGGGCACCACCAUAAUAAGAAUGUCAACCAAAACCUCUAAGUAAAUGGCUAGAUCUAAAAUAGCUAUGUAAAAAUCAACCACUUUUCUACAUAAAAGCAAUAAACAGAUGUAAUUCGGGGUAAACAUUCUCUUCCUAAUGCAAAUAAGAACCUCAUAUAAUUCCAGAGAAAGAAGUUAUUUCCCAUUAACACAGUAAUCCUACUUCUAUGAAUCUAAUAAUUUCCUGGAAAACAGCCCAGAGUAAGAACAAAGGCUUAUUAUACAUGUUUACCCCAGUACAUUUUUUUUUAAAGAAAAGAACAAAGUUAUUCAGAGUAAUAGGGUGAUAAUUACGUAUGUGGAAAUUAUAUAUGAGGAAAUUAUUAUGUGUCUGGAAAAUGAAAUAUUAAGCUGCAUUAUUUAUAAAGAUAAUGUUGUAAACUGUUUAAAUAUUUAUCAAUCACAUUCUGUUUACAUUGAGAUUUUUCAACCUCAGCAACUAUUGACAUUUUGGAUGGAUGAUUCUUUGCUGCAGCAGGGGUGGAGGGGAGAAGUUCUGUGUGUUGUAGGAUGUUUAAUGGUGUCCCUGGCCUUUACCCACUAGAUGCCAAUAGCAUCUACCCCCAAUUACUGCAAUAAAAAUGUUCCCAAAUCUUGUCAACUGUCUGCUGGGUGGGAGGAAGUAGGGUCAAAAUCACCUGUGGUUGAGAACCAGUAGUUUAAAUCUAGUGUCUAUGUAAUAGCUCACUACCCAGUCCUUAAGAAGAAUAACACAGUUUGGUAGGUAUUAGUACAGAACAAACCCCAUGAUAUUUGGAAAGCGACAGAAGCAAGGUAUAGAAAUUAUAGCACAGUAAAGGAUUUAUAUAAAAGCAAAAGGUAUACCUUUAUUGUUUAAUGGUUUAUUAUCAGGAUUAUUGUUAGGAGGACGGAUUAUUUUAAUGCAUGGUUACUUCCACAGACUAUAUGGAAUCAAAGAAAAUAACAUUACACAAUAAGAGAACAAACAACCCAAUCAACAAAUGGGCCAAGGACCUGAACAGACACUUCUCAGAGGAGGACAUACAGUCAAUCAACAAGUACAUGAAAAAAUGCUCAACAUCUCUAGCUG